UACGUAGGGACCAAGCGUUGUUCGGAUUUACUGGGCGUAAAGGGCGCGUAGGCGGCUCUACAAGUCACUUGUGAAAUCUCCGGGCUUAACUCGGAACGGUCAAGUGAUACUGUCGAGCUAGAGUACAGAAGGGGCAACUGGAAUUCUCGGUGUAGCGGUGAAAUGCAUAGAUAUCGAGAGGAACACCUGCGGCGAAGGCGGGUUGCUGGGCUGAUACUGACGCUGAGGCGCGAAAGCCAGGGGAGCGAACGGG
rnacentral:rRNA from 1 species